UGUUUUGAUGGCUGUACUCGCAUUCUCAGCCAGCGCUAAUGGAAAACGGUCGGGCGGAAAGCAGGGGGACGUGCAAGAGCUAACAGAGAGUCUUCGCGA
rnacentral:ribozyme from 1 species